rnacentral:misc_RNA from 1 species
UUAUUUUAGGAUGAAGCUCAAUUAACCCUCACGUUCUGUCUAGAAGAUGGACCCAAACGAUAUUGUAUAGGACGAACUUUAAUACCUCGAUUUUUCCGAAGUAUAUUCGAGGGAGGAGUUACAGACUUACACUGGGAGCUCAGACAUGCGAAGGAAAGUGUGCAUGCUGCUACGGUAUCGUUGGACUGUGAUCAGGCUACUAUGGUUACCCAGCAUGGGAAGCCAAUGUUUACAAAGGUGUAUACGGAGGGGCGUCUCAUUGUUGAAUUUAAUUUCGAUGAUUUGAUGCGAAUUCGAACUUGGCAUUUUGCAAUCAGAAACCACAGAGAGCUCGUCCCUCGCUCGGUUAUCGCGAUGCAGGAGCCGGGAAUGGUUGAAACCUUGUCAAAGAAUAUAACGCGGCAAGGACUCACCGCUACAACACUUAACUACCUCAGGCUGUGCGUUAUCCUGGAACCCAUGCAGGAACUAAUGUCGAGACAUAAAGCCUAUGCCCUCAAUCCCCGGGACUGUUUAAAGACGACCCUCUUUCAAAAGUGGCAGAAAAUGGUGGCGCCCCCUGAAACGACGAAACCGACGAAUAAGCGGCGGAAGCGCAAGGGAUCCCAGGCUGCUACAGGCCAAUCCUUGUCCAAGAAGGGCGUUUCUCCCCGCCCUACCUUCUCCCUAGCCUCUCAGGAUGUGAUGGUGGUAGGUGAGCCCAGUCUGAUGGGAGGGGAGUUUGGUGAGGAGGAUGAACGACUGAUCACACGUUUAGAAAACUCUCAAUAUGAUCCUUCAUUAGGACACGCCCCUCCCUCCCUUGAGGACUCAUAUAAUGGAGGCGGGGCACCCCUCCCUCCUCCCUGGGCCCGGGGGAGUAUAGUCCAGCCUCUUCCUCCCUCCAGUCAAGAGCUAGACAUCAAAAGAUCUCCGCCCAGUUCUAUAUAAACUCCUAAUUCAGGAGUUUAGUCCGAAAAUACAAUCCCAGAAAGGAGAAUUAAACUUAAAGGAGGUUAAGUCUCCUGAAGCUGAAGUUAAAGUGAAAAAUGAACAGUGCCGAGUUCACUCUUAGAAAUCAAUAUUAAUUCUUCUACGGACAUAUGAAACCCCAUGGAGAUCGGAAUUUAUGAUCCUGAGAUCGGGAUUAACAAUCCUGAGAUCGGGAUUAACAAUCCUGAGACCGGGAUUAACAAUCCUGAGAUCGGGAUAAACAAUCCUGAGAUCGGAAUUUAUGAUCCUAAGAUCUGAAUUCAUGAUCCUAAAAUCUGAAUUCAUGAUUCGGAAAUCAAUUCAUGAUCCUGAGAUCGGAAUUUACGAUCGAAAAUUAUUAUUCUGAGAUCGGAUUGUAUUAUUCUGAGAUCAGGAUAUAUGAUCAUGAGAUUGGAAUACAUGAUUCUGAGAUCUGAAUUCAUCAGCCUAAGAUAAUCUUUAGAUCGAAGUUUAUGAUCCUUAGAUGUAUCGAGUUCUGUUGUGUUCUAACAAUCAAGAAUGAAAUGAUCUUGUUAUUAAAUCUUGAUUUUUGGUCUAGGAUCGCCUUUACAAAAUAUACUUCUAAGACUAUACCUCGGCUCUAAGAUUAAAAAAAAAUCUUUAAUUUCUUCCUCCAUGGUUUCUCCUAUCUCCGGGCUGAAGAUUACAAUGCUAAAACCAAAGUAAACCUUGAAACACAAGAGCAGGGGAUAAAACCAACUACGCUCUACUGUAUGCUCUCCUGAUUAUAGCUUGUCUAUAAUCUAUAUCUAUUUAUCAAAUACACAAAUAAUGCCAAAUAUCUUUUUACUUUAGAUAUCCAUUAUCCAAUCCUGUAACAAUGUGAUUUAG